GCGUGCGCCUACCAUCAAGUCGAGCGGGCGUAGCAAUACGCUCAGCGGCAGCACGGGGUAGUAACGCGUGGGAACGUACCUUUUGGUUCGGAACAACACAGGGAAACUUGCUGCAUAAUACCGGUAUAAUCCCUCUACGGGGUACACAUCUAUUUACGAAUAUCCCCUCCUCCUCGCCAUUACAUAUAUCACCUGAUACUAUUUGUUUAUUCACUUUCCCCUCUCAUACCAUCGCAUUUUUCCUCUAUACACAACCUCCCCCUCUACUAUUAANUUCUCCCCUUCUCUCUCUGCAAGAUUUUUUUUAUCAUCCCCCUGUCAUUCACCAUCAAGAAUUCACCCCUCCUAAUUUUUCUUUAACAAACACCAUCCUUUAACCUUUACCCCAUUCAUCUCACAACAAAAACUUUAUUUCUCUCCCCCCCCUUAUAAAUACGCUCUAUAUCUUACUUCCCACCCCCCCCUUUCUUCUCCACCCUCCCUA
rnacentral:rRNA from 1 species